GAACGCUAGCGACAGGCUUAACACAUGCAAGUCGAGGGGUAACAGGGUAGCAAUACCGCUGACGACCGGCGCACGGGUGAGUAACGCGUAUGCAACCUGCCUAUAACUGGGGAAUAGCUCCCUGAAAGGGGAAUUAACACCGCAUAACACUAUUGAUUCGCAUGGAUUAGUAGUUAAAUGUAGCGAUACAGGUUAUAGAUGGGCAUGCGUGACAUUAGCUAGUUGGUGAGGUAACGGCUCACCAAGGCUACGAUGUCUAGGGGUUCUGAGAGGAAGGUCCCCCACACUGGUACUGAGACACGGACCAGACUCCUACGGGAGGCAGCAGUGAGGAAUAUUGGUCAAUGGGCGCAAGCCUGAACCAGCCAUGUCGCGUGCAGGAAGACUGCCCUAUUGGGUUGUAAACUGCUUUUAUAGUAGAAGAAACACAUCUACGUGUAGAUGUCUGCCAGUAUGCUAUGAAUAAGCAUCGGCUAACUCCGUGCCAGCCGCAGC
rnacentral:rRNA from 1 species